rnacentral:misc_RNA from 1 species
UGCUUUGGUUGCCUCCAGUUCCCCUAUACGGGAGGAAGUGGAAACUUAGCAUCAGGAAAACAAAAUUAAUAUGCCCUAAAAUGGAUUGCAUCUCAGGUGGCAUACAAUCCAAGACACAGCAGUAUACUCAUCCUUACUUUACGUAAGUGGUACUUUCACAAUGAAACAAGCUAAUCUCAAUUUUAUACUCUCAUCCAGUGAACCAGAUAAAAGGUCAGCAACAAGAUUUUAACCUCUUAAAAAAGUCUAGAAAAACUUUUAUUAGCCAAAAAUAUAAAAACAUAAACUAGAAUGAACUCUUAAAAGUUCUGGAAAAACAUUUCAGUCAAAAUAUAUCUAGAGAAGCUAGAAUAAACUCUUACCGGCAGAAAUUGCCUCAUCCAGA